rnacentral:rRNA from 1 species
GAGUUUGAUCAUGGCUCAGGAUGAACGCUGGCGGCGUGCUUAACACAUGCAAGUCGAACGAACCUUCGGGUUAGUGGCGGACGGGUGAGUAACGCGUGGGAAUCUGCCCUCAGGAGGGGGAUAACGGCCGGAAACGGCCGCUAAUACCCCAUAUGCCGAGAGGUGAAAUGAAUUUCGCCUGAGGAUGAGCCCGCGUCUGAUUAGCUAGUUGGUGAGGUAAGAGCUCACCAAGGCAUCGAUCAGUAGCUGGUCUGAGAGGAUGAUCAGCCACACUGGGACUGAGACACGGCCCAGACUCCUACGGGAGGCAGCAGUGGGGAAUUUUCCGCAAUGGGCGAAAGCCUGACGGAGCAACGCCGCGUGAGGGAUGAAGGCCUCUGGGCUGUAAACCUCUUUUAUCAAGGAAGAAGAUCUGACGGUACUUGAUGAAUAAGCCACGGCUAAUUCCGUGCCAGCAGCCGCGGUAAUACGGGAGUGGCAAGCGUUAUCCGGAAUUAUUGGGCGUAAAGCGUCCGCAGGCGGCCCUACAAGUCUGCUGUUAAAAAGUGGAGCUUAACUCCAUCAUGGCAGUGGAAACUGUUGGGCUCGAGUGUGGUAGGGGCAGAGGGAAUUCCCGGUGUAGCGGUGAAAUGCGUAGAUAUCGGGAAGAACACCAGUGGCGAAGGCGCUCUGCUGGGCCAUCACUGACGCUCAUGGACGAAAGCCAGGGGAGCGAAAGGGAUUAGAUACCCCUGUAGUCCUGGCCGUAAACGAUGAACACUAGGUGUCGGGGGAAUCGACCCCUCCGGUGUCGUAGCCAACGCGUUAAGUGUUCCGCCUGGGGAGUACGCACGCAAGUGUGAAACUCAAAGGAAUUGACGGGGGCCCGCACAGGCGGUGGAGUAUGUGGUUUAAUUCGAUGCAACGCGAAGAACCUUACCAGGGUUUGACAUCCUGCGAAUCUCUUGGAAACUUGAGAGUGCCUUCGGGAGCGCAGUGACAGGUGGUGCAUGGCUGUCGUCAGCUCGUGUCGUGAGAUGUUGGGUUAAGUCCCGCAACGAGCGCAACCCACGUCUUUAGUUGCCAGCAUUUAGUUGGGCACUCUAGAGAGACCGCCGGUGAUAAACCGGAGGAAGGUGUGGAUGACGUCAAGUCAUCAUGCCCCUUACAUCCUGGGCUACACACGUACUACAAUGCUACGGACAAAGGGCAGCAAGUUCGCGAGGACAAGCAAAUCCCAUAAACCGUAGCUCAGUUCAGAUCGUAGGCUGCAACUCGCCUACGUGAAGGAGGAAUCGCUAGUAAUCGCAGGUCAGCAUACUGCGGUGAAUACGUUCCCGGGCCUUGUACACACCGCCCGUCACACCAUGGAAGUUGGCCAUGCCCGAAGCCGUUACUCCAACCCUUGUGGAGGAGGACGUCGAAGGUGGGGCUGAUGACUGGGGUGAAGUCGUAACAAGGUAACC